GUUUAAUUAAGAGAAGCGUGGUAGGAAGGACAUCUGAAGGAAGGUUGGGUUGCACUUGCGCUGCCCUACCUGAAAUCCCAGACUGGUUGCAGCCUGAGCACUGUGCUUCUGCACUGCUGGGAAGGGACGGGUAGACAACGCAGCCACAGCACCUUGGAAAUGAGGUUUCAAGAAGCCAGGCGCACACACACGAGUGAGCAGCUGCAACAGAGCCUGCACAGACUCCAGCCGCCCUGCACCAGCAUCCUGCCUCGAUUCUCCUUCACAGCUUUCUUGCUCCCUGAGUAUCCCAUUGGCAUGAGGCAUAGAAGGGAAAGAAAUGUGCACUCACACUGUUGUAACCCCUCGCUGACCCCCAUCAGAAGGAAAGGCCGAACACAGAAGCCAGCCUCUGGUCUGAAGAGACAAAUGCAGACACCCUCUCCUGGAAGAUACCGUGCUAAAAUAUUCCCUUUCCCUAUUGCAUCUCCAUUAAACUUUGCUGAAGGUGAUGCUGAGAUAAGUUGGGCCCAGAAAAAUCAAUGGGUGCAAAUUCAUAAGAAAUAAACACAAUGUAAAA
rnacentral:lncRNA from 1 species